rnacentral:rRNA from 1 species
AGCGAACGCUGGCGGCAGGCUUAACACAUGCAAGUCGAGCGGGCCCUUCGGGGUCAGCGGCGGACGGGUGCGUAACGCGUGGGAACGUGCCUUCUGGUUUGGAAUAACCCCGGGAAACUAGGGCUAAUACCGGAUACGCCCUUUUGGGCAAAGGUUUACUGCCGGUAGAUCGGCCCGCGUCUGAUUAGCUAGUUGGUGGGGUAACGGCCCACCAAGGCGACGAUCAGUAGCUGGUCUGAGAGGAUGAUCAGCCACACUGGGACUGAGACACGGCCCAGACUCCUACGGGAGGUAGCAGUGGGGAAUAUUGGACAAUGGGCGCAAGCCUGAUCCAGCCAUGCCGCGUGAGUGAUGAAGGCCUUAGGGUUGUAAAGCUCUUUUAUCCGGGACGAUAAUGACGGUACCGGGGGAAUAAGCCCCGGCUAACUUCGUG